GUAGGUGAACCUGCGGAAGGAUCAUUAAUAGAGCAAUGAAUAGUCAGCGCCCUGGGAGCAAUCCUGGGGGCCACCCUCCUCGGAGGGUUUAGAGACGUCGCGCCUCUCGGAGAAGCGCGGUUCAGACCUCCACCCUUGAAUAAAUUACCUUUGUUGCUUUGGCAGGACGCCUCGUGCCAGCGGCUUCGGCUGUUGAGUGCCUGCCAGAGGACCACAACUCUUGAGUUAAUAUUGUCUGAGUACUAUAUAAUAGUUAAAACUUUCAACAACGGAUCUCUUGGUUCUG
rnacentral:misc_RNA from 1 species